AUUCCAGAGGUGGUACGGGUGUUACUCGUAUCACUCCGGCAGCAAGCGAAGGUGUCAUUGACACCCGUGGUAUAGUCCCCCCGGCUAUACCACGAUCUUUUUUU
rfam:Vibrio anguillarum 775 chromosome I, complete sequence.